CCUACGGGAGGCAGCAGUAGGGAAUCUUCCACAAUGGGCGAAAGCCUGAUGGAGCAACGCCGCGUGGGUGAAGACGGUCUUCGGAUCGUAAAACUCUGUUGUUAGAGAAGAAAGUGCGUGAGAGUAACUGUUCACGUUUCGACGGUAUCUAACCAGAAAGCCACGGCUAACUACGUGCCAGCAGCUGCGGUAAUACGUAGGUGGCAAGCGUUAUCCGGUUUGGUUGGGCGUAAAGGGAACGCAGGCGGUCUGUUAAGUCUGAUGUGACAGCCGUCGGGUUAACCGGAGAGGUGCAUUGGAAACUGGGAGACUGGAGUGAAGUAGAGGAGGGUGGAAUUCCAGGUGUAGCGGUGAAAUGCGUAGAUAUAUGGAAGAACACCAGUGGCGAAGGCGGCUCUCUGGGCUGUAACUGACGCUGAGGUUCGAAAGCGUGGGUAGCAAACAGGAUUAGAUACCCGGGUAGUC
rnacentral:rRNA from 1 species